GAUCCUGGCUCAGGAUGAACGCUAGCUACAGGCUUAACACAUGCAAGUCGAACGGAGAAUUUUAUUUCGGUAGAAUUCUUAGUGGCGAACGGGUGAGUAACGCGUAGGCAACCUGCCCUUUAGACGGGGACAACAUUCCGAAAGGAGUGCUAAUACCGGAUGUGAUCAUCUUGCCGCAUGGCAGGAUGAAGAAAGAUGGCCUCUACAAGUAAGCUAUCGCUAAAGGAUGGG
rnacentral:rRNA from 1 species